rnacentral:lncRNA from 1 species
AUACACCCUUCUAAAAGGUCUCAAAAUUGACAAUUUUAAUGGUAGAUGUGAUAUAUUUGUGAAUUUAACGGUGUAAAAUAAUCCAAAUCUGAUGAAAUUUUUAUAAAAUAUGUUUUUCACUAUUUAGAGUAAGAUCAAUACAUCUGAUCUUAAAUUCAAGCUUUUAUCAUUAUUUUUUAUAAGGUUUUUAUUUUCAGCUGUUCAUUUUUAAAUUACUUGUUUGGUAGGUAAAUGAUGUUAAAAAAUUAUAAACUUUAGUUUUCAAAUACUUUUAAUAGUGUAGAUCAAGUCUAACGGAGCCGAUCGUUGAUUUGGAAGCCGCAACAUUGAAAACAAUUUGGUAGCACGAAGGCCUCCGUGCUACCGAUAGUAUACCAGCUUAGCGCUCUCUCUCUCUCUCUCUCUAUACUCUCUCUCUCUCUCUCUCUCUCUCUCUCUCUCUCUCUAUAUAUAUAUAUAUAUAUAUAUAUAUAUAUAUAUAGGCUGGGCUACUAUACUCUUAUGAGUAUAGACCCCCUUAUAUUCAUAAAUUUUUAACUGUUGAUUGAUGGGAUGUACAGUCAGGAUGAUGGUGGUCCCAACUUAGAAUGAUAGUGGUCCCCUAGGGUUGAGUGGGUAGUUGAUUGAAUAGUAUGAUCUAACGGGUGGAAAUGAUCAAUGUAAUAAAUCUAAGAGCCGAAAACUUAUGAGUAUAAAGGAGUCAAUACUCAUAAAAGUAUAGUAGCCGGACUCUUUCUCUCUCUCUCUCUCUCUCUAUAUAUAGUUCCUAUAAGUAUAUAUCUCUCCAAAAUAUAUAAAAUUCCUAAUUUCCGUUUCUAAGCACUAGUUCUUCAAAGUCUUUUUGCAUAAAAAUAUUCAUUGGCUUUGUGUUUUUACAAAAAUAGAUCAUUUUUUUGAAUGUUGUAGAUUCUACCCGAAUUUUUAGUAAACAGAUCAAAAUAUUUUUAUUUCUCUCUCUCCAUUUUUUUGUUCUAUUGUUUGUUUUUCUUCUCUAGAUCGUCGCCCACCUCGUCAAUUUUUUUUCUCUUUAUCCUCCCGUUUUCUCUCAUUUCUCUUCAUCCCUCACUACCCUCGUGUCGAUGUUGCGCUCCUCUCUCUUAUCUCACCCACAUCCCUAUCGAUGCCAGCUCGGAUGUGGCACAGAUUGUGAAAAUGAGGCUGUAGCGGAGGGAGUAGACGUUGAUGGCGAUGGGAGUGGCAACAAUGAUGAGGGUGCCGCAUGAUUUGAGGACCAUGG